rnacentral:misc_RNA from 1 species
AAAAAAAUUACCGUAACAACUCAAUGAAAUACAUAAAUUCAAGGUAAAAGAUGAUACGAAGUGUUCAAUAUGUCAUAGAAAUACAAAAUCUAAAAGGAAAAAACGAUGAUUACUAAUAUAGGUAUUUCCUUAGAGGGGUGAACUUGAGCAGCAGCAAUCUACAUGGUUUCAACAUCAAAAGAAUCAGCUCUCUUGGGCUUCUUCACCAUCCUCAUCCUAAUGGAUCCAUACCCAUCUGUACUAUCAUUCUUAUCAAGCAAAGACCGUGGAGGUGACUCUGGAUCCACGUCAUUCCCAUCCACCCACCUAGACUCUGCUACUCCACCACCACUGUAAUGACUAGCUAGCAAUCUAACACUGUUCUCUUCAAUUCGAUCUGGCGAUCUCUCUCCAUCUUCCCAUAAAACCCCCUCAAAACCCACUUCAGAAAACCUCAAAUACGUGCCCACCGACACUAUCUCUCUGUACCUAGAGUUUCAUACUACGCAGGGAAAAUGAAGAGAAAUUCAUCAAGGAGAAAGAGAAAAAGAAAAGAAACGAAAUCAAAUUUGUU